ACUGACAGCCAUGGUUACCGCGGCUGCUGGCACGGAGUUAGCCGGUGCUUCUUCUGUGAGUGAUGUCCUUCCUGCCGGCUAUUAACCCGCAGGCCUUCUUCCUCACUGAAAGUGCUUUACAACCCGAAGGCCUUCUUCACACACGCGGCAUGGCUGGAUCAGGGUUGCCCCCAUUGUCCAAUAUUACCCCACUGCUGCCUCCCGUAGGAGUCUGGGCCGUGUCUCAGUCCCAGUGUGGCUGAUCAUCCUCUCAGACCAGCUACGGAUCGUCGCCUUGGUGAGCCGUUACCUCACCAACCAGCUAAUCCGACAUAGGCUCAUCCGAUAGCGCGAGGCCCGAAGGUCCCCCGCUUUCCCCCGUAGGGCGUAUGCGGUAUUAGCCUGGGUUUCCCCAGGUUAUCCCCCACUACCGGGCAGAUUCCUAUGCAUUACUCACCCGUCCGCCGCUCGCCACCAGGGAGCAAGCUCCCCGUGCUGCCGCUCGACUUGCAUGUGUUAGGCCUGCCGCCAGCGUUCAAU
rnacentral:rRNA from 1 species